AUUAUACUCCCUCCGUCCCGAAAUAAGUGACUCAACUUUGUACUAAUUUUGUACUAAAAAUAGUAUAAAGUUGAGUCACUUAUUUUGGGACGGAGGGAGUAUAUU
rnacentral:pre_miRNA from 1 species